rnacentral:rRNA from 1 species
GAUGAACGCUGGCGGCGUGCCUAAUACAUGCAAGUCGAGCGAACAGACGAGGAGCUUGCUCCUCUGACGUUAGCGGCGGACGGGUGAGUAACACGUGGAUAACCUACCUAUAAGACUGGGAUAACUUCGGGAAACCGGAGCUAAUACCGGAUAAUAUAUUGAACCGCAUGGUUCAAUAGUGAAAGACGGUUUUGCUGUCACUUAUAGAUGGAUCCGCGCCGCAUUAGCUAGUUGGUAAGGUAACGGCUUACCAAGGCAACGAUGCGUAGCCGACCUGAGAGGGUGAUCGGCCACACUGGAACUGAGACACGGUCCAGACUCCUACGGGAGGCAGCAGGAGGGAAUCUUCCGCAAUGGGCGAAAGCCUGACGGAGCAACGCCGCGUGAGUGAUGAAGGUCUUCGGAUCGUAAACUCUGUUAUUAGGGAAGAACAAAUGUGUAAGUAACUAUGCACGUCUUGACGGUACCUAAUCAGAAAGCCACGGCUAACUACGUG